ACGCUGUACGUAUAUUUAUGCAACAACAACAACAUGGCGUGAUGUGAUAAUUAUUAUGAACUUGCAGCUGGCGCUUACCAGAUACCAUUUCUCCUGAAUAUUUUACAGAUUCUGAUGUUUACGAAUAGAAAAGUGGCGAUAUAAAAAAAGCCUUAUAGUCAUCUUUAAUGUUGCCUGCACGUAUUGUACGUGCAUGACAAUUAAAUAGGAAUAUGAGAAAAAAGUGUACGGCCGAGCGAGGAAAGGUCAUCCUGAAUCCCGUUCGUCCAGACUAAAUGACCAAGGCGCUCACUGAUUAUAAUUGUUAGACGCCGCGACAUAUCAUUGUACAAAAAGGACAAAAGCGCAACAAAUUCGCCAGCUCCCUGUUGCAACAGUGCCGAAAUCUGUACCCGCGCAGAGAAGACUUGCCAAGAUCGAUCUGAGCAAAUUUCGGGUUAAGAUAGUGGUGACCAACCGGCGGCGACGGGGACAUUCUUCGCAUGGGCCAUCGCGACUUUUGGCGAAACAAGGCUGCGAACGUCGAAGAAAUCGAGCUUCGUAUUUAAAGGCAAAGUUUUGGUUGAGUAGGGUAUCGGCCGGCAGUUGGAGCAAAAGAAGACGCGGCAGGACCAUAAGCCUAACGCUUUCAACAACCGCAGCGCCGAGUUCUUGAUCCAGAAAUGGACGACACCGAUCGCGCCACACAGGAAGCGCAGAAGGCAUUUGCUACACAGUACACAUGCCGCUACAAUGCAACUCUGGUGAGCCAUUUCUGUUGAUCGAUAUAUGGGCCGCUGAAAAAAAUACACAGGGAAAUUUAUUUUUGAAGGAAGCUUAUUGACCUUUUUUUUAUUUUAUUUACUUAACACAGUAUCAUGACAAAUUGGUCGAUACAAUAACUUAUUUCAGCAAAUCUUAGUAAAUGAAGAGUUAGAUAUUUAUUGCGAUUAUAAAUCCCAGGCUGGAACCAAACAGGCAAACGCAACUGUGUUAAUAUUCAGAUUAAAAUUGACGCAACUGCUUUAAAAUCUGACUAAAUCACAUUCAAC